AAGAAACAGAACGCAAAAACACAACCCAAACAUUUAGAAAAAAAUUAAAACCCGGUUAUCUCUCCCUUCUUCCUGCGUACUAUUCUUCCAUGGCGGAAAUUAAACCUCUCAACUGUAUUAUCAAUUGUUCCUCGAUUCAGGUUCUCGCUAAACGUAAUUUCUGAAUAGAGGUCAACGAAUCCCCAACAUGAAGGGGUGUAUUGGAGAGAAGAGGUGUGUUUUGGAGAAGAGAUACUGCUGAAUGUAGAAAUAACAUGGAUCCAGUUACAUGGCGGGAGAAUUUUAGGUUCGAGAAACCAUGUCUUCAGACAUUAGCCAUUAAGAUUCUGAGUAGGGUGCAUUACCCUGUAUGGCCCUAGCUCUCUUCAGAAGCAAGUGAAAUUCCCUGCAUUUUCUUAUGUUUUCAGUUGCAGCAUUAUGGGUUGAUACAUGUGUUACAGUGUUUCACAAUUGAUGUUGGUCUAUGGUGGCUGCCGAGCUGUUGGUCCGUAUAAGUGUCUUCUACUGUCAAAAACUCCCCUGAUGGAUCAAGAUAUUAAAAAGAAAAGAAAGACAUUGAUGGUGAAGAUCAAUGCGGUUACAGAAAUUUAAUGGUUCCAAUAAGAGAUUAUAUAAUUGGUGGUGAUUGGGAUGUUGGAGCUGGCACAGGCUUGAAGGGAAGAAUGCAUACGUGAAAGCACCGUACAAGGGAGAAGAAUGCAGACGUAAAAGCACUAUACAUGGGCUGGUCAAAUUCUAAAAUUGAUUUUGAAGAAAUUUGAAGAUUUAUGUUAGCUUACCUGUUUCAUCUAUCUUGAGAUCAAAGAAAUCUUCAGUUGUUCAGACUAAAGUUCUUCAACUUGGUGGCUAGAAGAUGUAUGCCCUGCUUGUUUGUGUGCUAGCUUAGCUUGGUCACAUUGUACAAGGGAGAUUCAUCCUGCCCUUUUUCUAGUCAAUAUAUGUACCCAAAAAGAGAAUUGCAGCUUACAAACUCUUGGAAAUUAACUGAGCAGAGAAGCACUGAACUGUCUGCACUUGUUUAUUGAGCAGCAGUGCAUAUCUGAUUAAGGAUUAACCGGAAUCAGCUAGCUAUCGUGUGCAUAUCUGAUCCCCCUAGCUUAAGGUUGAAGCUUUUUCAGAGGACUUGUUUUUAGUUCUACUAGUAGGGGUGCCCAAGAAAACUCAAUCGAGGUAUCAAAAUCCUGAAUACAUAAAUUAGGUAUGAAUUUAUUGAAGAACCAAAUAGGAUUGUUAAUAUAAUGAGUUAUAAAGUGAUUUUGAAAGAUGAUUUCGCAUUGUGUUGGUUCCAAUAUGCAAAUAAUGCCUAUUAGCUCAAUUGGUAGAGGUUUGUGCGAUUACACAAUGAUGUAGGUUCGAAUCCUACAUAGGCAACUCUUUGUAUUUUGUUUAUGAUAUUAGUCUCCUACUUGAUUAUUCUUUACUUUUGAA